rnacentral:lncRNA from 1 species
UUUACAUAUGUUUUGAGAAAGAAAAGAUGGACAAAGAUUAAUAAAAAUGGUACUUUAAAAUAAAAAAGUAGAAGUAAAUUUUAAAUUCAUUUUUUAAUAAAUACUAUAGAUAUCCCAUAUGAAGCUGGGCCUAUAAAGCAACGGGUGAUCCUCCAUUUGUCUCACAACUCCAAAACCCUAGCCACCAGGUUUCCUCUUCCUCAUACCAAAACCCUAGCAGCCGUUGGUCUGUUUAUCCAUAUGCUUCUUACAAGCAGUAUCAAGAGUUUUGUGGGAUGAUG